UCUCUUCCUCCAGAUUCGAGAUGUGAUCCACUGGCAAGAGAGGACGCCAAUGGAAGGUGUCUGGAAACUGCUGACUUUGGUCUAAUGUGAUGCAAUGUUUAGAAUUGUUCUGCAAACUCAAGUGUCAUACACCUAAGUUUGUAUUACCAGAAAGUUAUGGAAGGGCUCACCCCUGGAACAGCGGUAACAAGGGCAAGCUGCUCUGCCUUCUCCCAGUCUACUCACUUUUGGACUUCUUGCUGCGGCCAAGUCUCCUUUUUGUGAAUGCAAGACUUUCAUUUGGCCUCUGCCCAGGCUUCUCUGUGCUGAAAGUCUCCCCAAAGCAGCACACUUCACAUUUCCUUUCUUUGUGUCUUCCGUGAUCGUGACCAUUUACAACGUCUGCAUUUGCACUUCUUGGCUCGUGGUUUACCACGGUGAACUCUCUCGGGGACGUUUGCAUCUUAGGUGAGAGGAAGAGUCAUUUUCUGGAACCCUUGAUUUUGGUUUACUUGGCAGUGAAUUGACUCCUUAUAGAUUUGACGGAUAUUUUACUUUUGAGAUCCUAAAAUGGAAACGUAAACAGGUCCUGGCAGAGCAAAUCAGCAGGAGUAGAGAGAGAAGGGAAGAGACUUCGAAGAUUCCCCCAUGGAAGGCCUCAUUCUCCCUGGUUCAUGGCUACUUUAGCAGUGUCAAGUAUGGUUCUAUCUCAUGAAGUGGACCUUAAAGCUGGUUGCUACUUUGCUUGAAUGAUGGAGUCCUUUGCUGUAUAUUGGCUUUUUGUCUUCAUGAAGCUUCUUCUAGAAGUAUAUGGUAAUUAACAUAGAGACCCAAAGUUGAACAACGGUAGACAAUGUGAUAAGCUGCCUCACGUGCCUGCUGCUAUGUGCUCCCUGCCGUGAUGAACUGGAUCCCUUCAAUCUACGAGUUACAAACAAAUCCUUUCUCCUUUGAGUUGCUUUUUGUCAGCCACAGACGCUCCUGUGCUGUUUAGCUCCUAUGGGGAGGUGAGCUAGGCUUGAAAGCUGUUCCAACCUUCAUUCCCAGCUCUUCGGCUCUGCACGGAGGUCCCACGGAAAGGUCUCUGGGAAUCCCUUCCUCCGUAUCUUGUGGAGCCUGCAGUGGGACCCUGAAUGAACAGCAUUGUUCUUGGGGAAGGAGGAUGGACUAUUUUCAUUCAUCCCUAAAUAAUAUCAAGCAUUGUGAAGGUCAAAGAUGCUCAGUGUGCUGUGGAGAGAAAGGCACGAAGGGACAUGGCAUCCUUAUACCAGUGGGCAUGCCUUUCCAGCACCAUGACAGCUAGCCAGCAGGGAAAGAGCUUGCAGGUCAGUACCAGCUUUACAUAUCCAUAUUAAAUUAGUCAAGUACAUGGUGUCUUCAGCAAUAGGUUCUUAUUGUCAAGUUCUAGUGGGUAGCCAAGAGAAAUGGCAGUAGCUUGUAAUGUUUGGGUAUCUGUGAGACCUCACCGGCUAAAAAUUCCUGAAGAGGUAACCGAUUUUCAAUAUUUUAUUUGUAGUCUAUGGUAUUUUUAGGGCAUUGUCAUCCUGCUAUAGGGUAGCUCCAUUUUAACAUAUGCAUAUUUAAAACACACACACACACACACACACACACACACACACAUGCACACAUGUGCACACACACACACACACAACCACAUACACAUAUGUGGAAGCUUCUACAAUAAUAGAUAGGUUUCCAUAUGGCUUCUAAAAAAGAUCUUAAGUGUUCUUUAUCCCAUCUUGUAUUCCCUCCUCUAUCCUAUCCUCCUGGCUUCCACCCCAAUUUAAUUCCAUCUUUUACUUCUCCUUUAAGCCUUUAGAGCAAUGAAUUCUGUCUCUCGCUCCAUUGAAAGUCCCCCUACCCCCAGCCUCUCAUUAAUUCCCUGACCUCUUUGGGUAGCCUGAAUGAAACAUAUGUAUCUGAAGCUUCAAACCUAACAUUCAGAAAUGAGAGAAAACACGUGAUGCCUUUCUCCAGGAUGAUUAUUUUCAGCCCUAUUAUUUACUUGUGUGUUUCAUAAUUUUGUUUUUCUUAGUAGUUGAAUAACAUUCCAUUCUGUAAAUAUAUCACAGACUCAUUAUCAAUUCACUAGUUGAUGUAUGUCUGGGCUGUUUCCAUUACUUGCCUAUUGCAAAUAAAGCAGCAAUGAACAUGGAUGAGCAAGUGUCUGUAUAGUGGAGUCCUUUGGUUGCCUUCCCAAGAGUCGUGUAAUAUAUUGACUUCUAGCUUUUUGAGGCCUCUCCACACUGAUUUCCAAAGUGGUUGUACCAGUUUGCUCUCUCACUAGCAGCCCUGGCCUUCUUCCCACCAUUUGUCUUCAUUGUACUGGUGUCUGUGUUUGAAUUGCUUGCUGUGUCUUCUGCUUUGCACUCUCUCUGAUUAGUCUUACAGGAUGUAUUGUGUGCAUCACUUCUUCUCUCACAUAUCUGGCACUGGUGGGGACAGCAGAAGUCGACUUUCUCCACUUAGCAUUGUAUUUAUGAUUACAUUAUACGAACUAUGAAGCUGGAUUAAUAGUUUAUGAAUGACCAAUUAUUCAAAGAUGUGAUUUUGAGAUCACUGUGCUACUGGAACUAUACAUUGUAAAUUUUUGGAUAUAUUUACUACCUUCCUUAGUCAUUGAGCACCAUGGGGAGACAAGUGGACUUUGUUUCUCCAGUGAGAUCUAAGUAAUUACUUGAGUAGAUGAAUGUACAAACACACAAGCAGAGGAAGAGACUGAUUGUCACUGACAAUUAUUUUGGGACAUUCUGAUACUUUAUAUAGUAAUUAAUGAAUAGUUUUGAUUUAUGUAUGGUUCUUUAUAUUUAAUGACAUAACUUGUACAAUAUUUUAAAACAGAACUAAUCCAAUAUUCUGAUAUAUGUGGUAUGUUAGAAUAAUAACUAAAUGGUUGAGAAAAUACUUAAUAGGGCCAACUCCUGGCAUCUCUUUAGAAGUUGUGCCAACAGUUUACCUUCAGACAAUCUAAAAAACCAAUCUCUUUCUGAAAAUCUCAAAGAAAAAAACCAAACAAACCAAAAACAUUGUCUUAGUGAAAAGAGUGUUGUUUGGGCUCUUCAGUGUUUUCUGACUUGACAGCAUGACAUAGUAUAUAUAUUACAUCAGUGUGCUUACUGUCAACUUCCAAUCUUUCUGCUCUGUCCUUGUGCAUUGUUGCAGAUGGAAUGCAGCCCAGCCUGUAAAUGUGUGGAGGCAAUGGGCCCUGCAUUUGGUGAUAAAUGCAAGGGCACUCAAGACAUGCCUCAGGUUGACAUGUAAUACCUAAUUCAAAGUUUCAUUAUCAUUAAAAUAAAAAGGCAGGAGGUAGUGAAUAGGAAAAGGAAAGGUAAUUCAUAGCACAGAUGGUGUCCUGGGCUUUCAUAUGUCCUGCUUUAUGCAGCAAGGCCAGCCUUCGACUGCAGCAUCCUUCAUGGCUACACACAUUGACUUUGACAUUUCCCUUUGAUAGAUGCGUGGCCAGUGCUUGUGACUACACUCUUUUUCAUUUAUUUGGCUGAAACAAAUAGUCAGUCUUCCAUUUUUAUGUUCCAUACUUCAUUAAGAGGAUCUCUGCUGAUGCCCAUUUACAGAGGAAAUUAGCUGAAUAGGAAAGAAAUCAAUUUUCACUCAUGUGAAGCAAUGAAAUCAUAAUCUCAGAAAUCUAAGACACAUGUCCUACAUUGCUCUCAUCAAGAGGCUAACAGCCUCUGAAAUAUGACGUGGCUCAUGCACUGUUCUCAGAGUCCUCCAAUUACAUACCUGGAAAUACUUAUGACCUCAAUUAUGUUAUUUAUUAAAGGCAGAUGAAGUUUCCCCUCAUGUAAUGCACAUUUAAAAACAUUUGCUCUUUAAAAUAUUUGAAAAGUUCUAUUUAUAUUUAUUUUACAACUGUUUGCCUAUAUAUAUGUAACUGUACCACAUGGAAGCAGUACCCUCAAAGGUUGGAAGAGGGCAUCUGGUCCCCCAGAGCUGUAAAACUACAUAUGGUUGUGAGCCACCAUGUGGAUUCUGGGAACUGUAUCCUGUCUCUCUCAAAGACAGCACAUACUCUUAACCACUGAGCCAUCUGUCCAGCCCCUAAAUAUUUAUUAUUUUGUAAAAUAUUUUUUACCCUUCACCCUUCUUCUUCCAUAUUAAAAAACAGUAAGGAUAUCUGAAAAGUCAUAAGGGAGUUAUAAUAUUAAAAAACCUAUAGUAUAUAUAAUUCUGUGCAUAAAUAUACAUAUAUAGUUUAAGUGAAAAAUUCCCUAUCUGGGUUGAGAGCCAAAGACCACCUAACAAAAACUGCAAUAUGAGAAACUGUCUUUUUAGUUGUUGGUCAGGGUUGUCCAAGAGACUUCUAAAAUAUUACAGGUUAUUGCUUUUGCCCUUCGUUGCUCCUGAGUGGUUUAAGUUAAGUUCCUAUUGCUAAAGAUACCAUGCACUUUAGACACAGGGCCCUGAGGCCAGUGAGAUGGAACUGAUCUGAAGCCUUCUUCCCGAGGACUAGCUUUAAGGGAGUGGAAGAGCAUCAUGCAAGCUUCCAAAGGAGUCAAUCAACCAAUACUCUUACCUAGCUAUGAAGCAUAUGCGCUACAAAAUGACCAGCAUGGCAUGGUAACCCUAAGGGUGCAGUAGUUGUACAUGUACCAGGGUGGUAACAACACAUCUUUAAUUGAACUUAAGACUCACUCAGCAAUAGGGAAACAAUGCCUGGUACUGGAAACUUAGGCAACUCCUCAGGAUUAGUGAACUCACAGACCUUAGGGCAGAACCUAUAACCAUCAAGUUCCUGAACCAGCACAAUCAUCUCUAACUACAUUCUAAACAUUUGUCCCUAUAACUGGAGAUAAGUCUCACCUCUCAUCAGCAGAUCACAGCCAAAGAUACAGCAGAAAGAUCAUAAACAUUUAUUCUCAAUUAGCUUUUUUUGUAUAUGUUAAAGACAAGAUAUAAAACACUAGAUGAAGGUCAAGAAAUGAGAGAUUGGCCAGCAGGAAGUACAUUGGGGAGUGCAGGUUGAAGUCAGCAGUCACAGAGAACACAAUGAGGAGGUUCCCCAUCAGACUUGUUGUAUAGAACACCGAAGAAAACAGAAAGAGAAGUAACUGGAUUCCCCAUGUAUUGGAGAGUACCAGGAACACAAAUUCAGAUACAACAGAGUGAUUGUUUCCAUCCAUUGCACUGGAGAACAGAGCUGUUCCAACAAAACCUGAAAAAGGCAGAGAAGAGAAAAAGCAUGUUUUUUUGUGGAGUUAGUAACUUCAUCAAUUUUGCCUUAUGCAAGCAAAAGCCAUUGCUGCAUAGAGUCAUUACACCUCAGCAUAACUGCAAAAAAUUGAGAGUCACUCCAUGCAAUGAACCACCACAUCUAUUGUCCUUUAUUUCCUAACAUUAUCCAAAUAAAGACUGUGGAAUAUUUAGGGAUAAGUAUUAGAAAAGAAAAAAAUGACUGGCCUGAAGAAAGACUAUGAAAAGACUAAAGACUUAUUGACAAUAAUAUACAUGGAAUAAAAUAUAAAUGAGAAGAAUAAAAACACUAAAUGAUGUAAAAAGCAAAAGAGUCGUGUGAUAUCUGUUGUUCACUUGUUGGAUUCAUGAUUUCUAGGCAAGAUAUUUAUUCUUCUUUGUUUUCAGGUGUCAUCUAUAAAAUCAUAAUGAUGAAUCAUUAUACGCCACUUUGUUUCUUGACACUGUAGUACGUCAUUUCCAUAUAACUCAUUGAAUACUCACAGAAGAUCUAUGAAAUAUUUUCUAUUAUUUUAAAUGAUCUAUUAUUUUAAUACUUGAGGAAUGGAGGCCAUAGCAAGAGCAGUAACUUCUCUGAAGUCAGACAUCUGGUCAUGUCAUGGAAGUGUGCACUGGAGUAUGUUGGCUUUAGGGUUGGUGCUUUAAAGGACUACCCUAUAGUUCUUCCAGCAACUUAGUGAGCAUGUUUUCACUGUUGAGUAGGAAAGAGAAGUGAUAUCUAGAAACUAGAAGAUCAUUUUGUAUAAAAUUUGUUUUCUUGCCCAGAAUCUGUGGGAGGUGUUCAUUCAUACACAAAGCCAGGAUACAUCUGUUUGUAAAAGCCUUUCAUGAAACACUUUCUUGAAAGUCUUAAGAAUCACCAUCACUGAAAGGACAAAAAUUAGACAGUGUGGUUGAACCUGGCUCUGCACCUUUGAAAGAAUUUCCACCUCUUAAUGAUUUGGGACUCACUCAACCAUAACAACUAUUUUCUAGGGACACAAAUCCUGGAUUGGAUAAAAAAAAUAUGUAUGAUGGCUAUAUGCUUCGACAUGGCAGCUGCUUCCAUACAGACAUAGAGGAAGCGAUGACAGCAUGCAUUUGACCAUGGACAGAGCUGCAUUUGGUCUGGAACCAGAAUAAUAUUGCAGCUGCCAAUCAGUGGUGACAGUUGGGUUUUGUGUGAAAAUGUGGUCACUGAGAAAACUUUAAAAUGACAGAGAAGAUGCUUUACCUCCAGUAACAAUUUCACCAGCACCAGCAAUUUCACAGUGUUCCAGAGGAGGAAGUUUGUGGCAUUUGGGUUCCAAAGGACAGAGCUUGAAUCUGGGACCUGUCAUUUCAUUGCCAUUUGACGUUGGGACAUUUCCUGUGCUGUCUACAAACUGGCUAGCAGUUGCUUACCUUAGAGGAACGUCUUGUAAUUUGUAUGUUUUGUGUUCUUUAGGCAUAGUUAUUACUGUCAUGAAGGACUCAUUAGAUAUGUACUGUUUUUUUUUCUGUUUAGCUUUUUAUUAAAUCAGUCAAAGUGACAUAUUUUUACACAGUAUCAACAAAUAUUCUGUGACAUUUCCCCCCUUUUGUCUAAAUAAAAAAGAAAGAUUUUAACUUCAAUGUACUAAACCUAUAAACAAUAAGAACAAUUAUCAGAUAAGAAUUACAUUCACAAUGUCCAGUCCAGUUGUAUUUGGCAAAUUUAAAGAAAAUACUCUAUUAUUUAUCUUAUCUUGGUCAGUCCAAAGUUUUGUAUCUAUUUUUUUUUUAUGCAUCAAUGGCAGCAACAGUGAUAUGUACUAUUUAUGAGUAUGUAGUUCUUCCUUUUCUAGUUUUCAGUUUCACACUCAUAUUUUUUUGAUUGCUACAUCUAAAAGUUUAAGGUGAUAUUUCCUUGAUUUUUAAUAUUCUAAUCAGAGACAUUGUUUUAACAAACAACAUAUGCCCAUGCAGACGACAAAAUGAGAUGAAACUACCAGGGAAUGGAUAAUAGAAAAGAAAACCUCAAAGGAAUUAGAAUGUAUUAUUCAUGCUUUGCAUUCUCCUCAACCAUAAGAGUCUGGAAUAUUCAACUGUGCUUUAGUAGUUAUCUCUUAGUCUCUACUGAUUGCAACUCUCAAGUUGCUAGACACACCGAAAAGAGUGACUUUGUGGGCCACACUUGGCUAGUUAUUUUGUCUCUCUCACUAGGUGGAUUCAUUAACACUUCAAGAAAAACAUCACCCUCUUCCCGUUGGAAGAGACAAAGUGUAAAUAUGAGGACCUUUGUGGCUUCACCCACCUCCGUGCAAUAAAAGAAAUUGCAACAGGAAAGUAUGGAACCAGAAUACAGAGAGAGCAAAGCUGAAAUAAUGGAGUUAGAAAGCCCCAAGAGGCUGCAGGGGGCUGUUUGUGGAGCAGGCUGUUCCCAAGCCUGGUUUUACCUCUAAUUGUCUUAGGUAUUGGACAGGUAUUUAGGUGUGCCUAACAACCAUGUACCAGGCAGUGUUUGAGGCUUUUAGGAUUCAACAAGUUGAAAAACUCAAACCAAACAUGACUGGAAGAAAACAAACAAAUAAAAAAUCAAAAAGCA